rnacentral:lncRNA from 1 species
CUUCUGCUCGACGGGGUGUCUCCUAAACCCUCACUCUUCAGCCUCUGUUUGACCAUGAAAUGAAGUGACUGAGCUCUAUUCUGUACCUGCCACUCUAUUUCUGGGGUGACUUUUGUCAGCUGCCCAGAAUCUCCAAGCCAGGCUGGUUCUCUGCAUCCUUUCAAUGACCUGUUUUCUUCUGUAACCACAGGUUCGGUGGUGAGAGGAAGCCUCGCAGAAUCCAGCAGAAUCCUCACAGAAUCCAGCAGCAGCUCUGCUGGGGACAUGGUCCAUGGUGCAACCCACAGCAAAGCCCUGACCUGACCUCCUGAUGCUCAGGAGAAGCCAUGGGCCCCUCCUGUCCUGUGUUCCUGUCCUUCACAAAGCUCAGCCUGUGGUGGCUCCUUCUGACCCCAGCAGAUGAGCAAACUGAGGCUCAGUGAGGCUGAGUGGCUCUGAUUUGAUGGCAGGUGGAGAGGAAGCUAAGCGCCCACCUCCCAGGGCUCCUGGAGACCCACUCUCCUCUCCCAGUCCCACGGCAUUGCCGCAGGGAGGCUCGCAUACCGAGACUGAGGACCGGCUCUUCAAACACCUCUUCCGGGGCUACAACCGCUGGGCGC